CCCUUAGAUGUUCUGGGCCGCACGCGCGCUACACUGACGAUGGCAACGAGUUUUUCCUUCGCCGAAAGGUGUGGGUAAUCUUUUGAAACAUCGUCGUGCUGGGGAUAGAUCAUUGCAAUUUUUGAUCUUGAACGAGGAAUUCCUAGUAAGCGCGAGUCAUCAGCUCGCGUUGAUUACGUCCCUGCCCUUUGUACACACCGCCCGUCGCUCCUACCGAUUGAGUGAUCCGGUGAGGCUUUGGGAUCUGAGCGGAAAGAGCGUUUCGCUGUUUCUGCUCGGAAAACUCAGUCGAACCUUAUCAUUUAGAGGAAGGAGAAGUCGUAACA
rnacentral:rRNA from 1 species